AAACGGAAGUGAGACAUAUUGGAUAUUUGAAUCCUUACAUAAACAUCAUGGUUCAAUUUUAUCCUUGUCUGAUUUUCAGCACUGUCAUUCAAGAUAAUCAUGAUGUUGUGUAGAUACUCCAAAAGAGAAUGAGCUAAAAUAUUAUGAGUUUCUAAAGCAAAAGACUCAAAAAUCUAAUACAGUUCAGAAUAAGACUAAGGUAGAACAUACAGUAGUCUUCAUAUCUAUAAAAGGCUGCUGCAAGAAGGGAAACAACCCAUUCUUCAUUAUCCAUGGGGAAUAGAAAAGAAGCAAGGGGCUUAUGUAAAAGAUACAUUCUAAUUUAAAUGACAGUUAAGGCCUGGAACAAAUUUAGGCAAGUGUUCCAUAUAGGAGGGAUUUUCUGUACCAGCUAUUUGUUAGAUAGUAGAUAGUCCCUCUGGAUGAAUUUUACUGUAUCUGAAGCAUUACAAUUCACUCUUCACUAUUUUAGAAGGAUGCUUCUUGUCGCUGACUGUAUAUUUUUAUGAAAAACGAUUAAAUGUAUAUUUAAAAGCCAUACAUAGCCAGUCAGAAUUUUAUAUUUUUAUAUAUAUAUAUAUGUAUAUGUGUGUGUUACUCUGUUUUGCCCAAAAUUUUUUGCACUGUGAACUGUUAAACUAGACAUGAAUGAAUGAUUCCAACAAGAAAGGAAAAGUUUCUGGUUUUGGUUUUUGUUUUGUUUUGGUUUGGGUUUUUUUCAGUAUUACAAGCAAUGGAUUUAUGUUAAGUGGAAGUUGAAUCUGUCUAUGAACGAGUCAGAGGGUAAAAACUGGCAAGACUCCCUCAGUAUUUCAGAAAUACUUAGAUUUCUUAGCUCUGUGUAGAAGCCUUUUUGGCUAUACUGCCAAGUCAGGAGGGGCAACUUUAACUUUUUGAAGAAAUGUUGUUUUAAAGCUAAAAUAAAUGUCAUGCAGAAAUCAUAAUGCUUAAUUUGUGUCUUAUCAAAGUGUAUGACCAUUGACUCAGCUGUUGUCAUAAAGAUGCAAAGAGGGAAAUGUUGCUAACAUUUUCCAGAAACAUCAGCAACAUCUUUCAAUGAACUGAAGUAAACUAGAUCAAGACACAAAUAUUUUCAUAUUAUGAAUGCUUCCUGUGAAUAUUAUGUAUAUUUUUUCCCAGGAGUGCACAGAGAUUUUGUGUAAAAUGCUGUACUAUGUGAUAAUUCCAAAGCAGCAGAAAAAUAUUAAAGAAAACUCAGGCAAAGGGGUGAGUUGUGUGUUCGCCUCAACUAAAAAUUCUGAAUCUUUGAAAGUUUCUGUAAACAUUUAAUACCACCGUAAUAGGAUUCUAUUUUUACACACAUUUAAAUGAGCAAAGUUUUGGAAGGUUAGCUUCGAACUUGGCAACCUCCUACUUUACAAAUAAGUGUGCUGCAACAUGCCUUGGAGUUCAGCAUUAGAGGAUGACCUAUACAUGUGUAAGGACUUCUUUCUAAGGUUGCUUUUUCUGCUGCUACGGACUCUAUUGCCUGUUUUAGAAAGUAGACUUGCAGUUAAUGGUACUCACCAGUCAGAUUUACAGCUUUGGUAACAACUGGUUACUGAAGAACCUGCAAUUUCCUCUUUUAUUAGUCUAUUUUUGGUGGAAAUUCAGUUUCAGUUUUCAUUUAUAGAUCUGGUUCAAAGCCUAAGCAAGGAACAUACAGAAAAAUUGUAUAUGUCUUUCCUUCUCUUAAUUUUGCCACUGAUCUUAGUUUUGUGAAGGCAAAGCAAUGCAAAUGCCUUUAGGGAAAAUUAGAAAGCCAUUCCAAAUUUUUUUUUCAAUCCCUCUGCACAAUUACCUUAGUGUUAUCUUUUCUCACAGGUGAAAGAAGAAAACAGCCAGUGAAAGCUUACUGGGAACUAAAUGCUGGAACCAAACUGACUUAACAGUAGGAAACAAACCAGUGUCUUCUCAUCUAAUAUUUAUUGCUCGUUUCUUUGUGACUUCACCUCCCUGGAAUGUCAUUGUACCUAAGAGGCAGAGAGGAGGGAAGUCAAGAUCCUAGGUUUUACUAAACUGAAGAUUCUACAGAUGAGUCAAUCCAAAUGAGAGGAUCUAGGACUUCAUGUGACAGGACACAGUUCUGCAGGAAUCAGAACAAGGAAUGGAAGGAACAAAAGAAGAAAGAAAAUAAGAUGAAAAUACAUACUAAAUCAAGAUGUUCACUGUGAAUCUGUAGUUAUAUGUAAGAUUAGUCCUAUGCCUGAUCACCUUUAUACAUAAUUUUAUACAAUUGUCACUAGGAAGUCAAAGAACACAGGUAAAAAAGGACUUUUUUCCUUUUCAGUGUCAUGAAAUUUAUUUGCUUCGUUGAUUUGUUUUCUGAAAAAGUCUGCUGUCAUAAUAGAAUAUUUAGUGGGAGACAUCAUAACAAGAAAUACUGUCUGCUGAAUGUUCUCAAUUACUUACUAACUAGGGAAUGAGAGAGUACUCUGGGAACAAUUAAUCUGUUGAUGCUGGAGUCAGAUAUCACAGUACAAAGUAUUUUAGUGUCUUCAGGUUUACGUCUUAUGGCUAUGGAGACUUGAUUGCAUUUUUCUGAUUCAUAUUGAAGACUCCUGACAUCUGAGCAAAGCCACUUUGGGGAAUAUUGUAUAUGUUUUCAUAGUCCCUCCUCAAGAAACCUCAUUGCUGAAUUGGAAGCAAACUGACCAGUGAACUUCAAUAAGACACCAUGUGAAAGUAAUCAACUUAUGCUAAUGUUUCCCAGCCAGUAGAGAAUUUUUCUAAAGUGGAUUAGUAGAUAGGACUGGUAGGUUUACUCCAUGGCUGAAGCACCUGUAGCAUCUGUUACAUUAAGGUGUCAGAGAGUACUUCAGAUAACGUGCAGCCAAUGUACUCUCUCCUUCACUAAAAUCUAGAUUGGGCCCCAAAAGGUCUUUAUUUAUAAUUUCUUUCUCUCUUCUUCUAUUCUUUUCACUUCCUUUUCUUUCUCUCAAGGAAGUAUGUCCUGUGUAUAAAUUGAAAGCCUAGAUUCUUUCAUUCAGCUACACACAGACAAAGAUAGGGAGGUGAACACUGAACAGAGAAAAAGAAUUGUCUUAUUUUGAUGGUGGUUCAUGAAAAGAAAGGAAUUCAUGUUACUUUUUGGACCCUUACUAUCAAAACCUCAGAAGCAGAGGAAAAUAUGACUGACCGGAAAUAUUUGUUUUUGAAGGUUUGCAACUAUGACAUUUGAGCAUUUUUCCCGGUCUCACGUUGAUACCAGACUAACCUUCAAGUAUAUACAUGUGGAAAAGUUCUAAUGAGUUGGGUUUGUGUUUAGCUUCACAUUUGACAGAAUCAUAGAAUCGUUAAGUUUGGAAAAGACCUUUAAGAUCAAGUCUGACCAUCAACCUAUUUGCCUCACCAUGUUUACUGUUAAACCAUGUCCUCAAGUGCCAUAGCCACAUGUUUUUUGAAUGCUUCCAAGGAUGGUGACUUCACCACUUCCCUGGGCAGUCUGUUCCAAUACUUUACAAGCCUUUUUGUGAAGAAAUUGUUCCUAAUAUCUAAUCUAAACUGUUCCUGCUGCAGCUUAAGGGUAUUUCCUCUUGUCCUGUGAAGAUGUUUCUGUUUUCUAGGAAGGUAUUUAAGGGACUGGAACAUCUUUUUUAUGACGCUGAGGGAGCUGGGACUAUUCAGCCUGGAGAAGUCUCAACCAUCUCAUCAACAUAUCUAAAUACCUGAUGGGAGGGAAUGAAGUUGAGGGAACCAAGCUUUUCUCACUUGUGCCCAGUGACAGGACAAGAGGCAAUGGGAAUGCAUGACAGACAGUGAGUUCCCAGAAUUAUAACAGAUUUGUGGUGUGAAGAGGCAAUUUGAGAAAGAGGGUGUCAGUGAACAACAGAUCUGCACCUCUGCUUCUUAGGCCUUCAUACAAAUAUCUCUUCGUACUGGAAAAGUAUCCAGAAGGUACUUUUGAGUGACAGCAUGAACACUAUUUUUUUGUAUUAUUUCAUGUUAUGCUAGAAAUAUUACAAGAGAACUGUGACUCAUUGUUUGUUACAGAUGUUGAUGUAGCUUUGCUUCUGACUUUAGCUACCAAUAUUUCCUCCUGAUGUCAAGAUCUACUGUGAUGGGAAGCUAGCAUGAUUGUUUCAAUACAGUCACAAAUUCUCACAGACGUUAGCACCACAAUGACACUGUGAAAGACUCAGUCGAGCUGUGGGAUCUGGAACUGCCGGUGGGAAGAAACAAACUGGUAAAAGCUCCGACUGACUGUAAAUCUUACUGCAGACAGCUAUACCCUGAGCACCUUCUCCCUCCACACGUUUCCUCACAUGCCUACACCAUAUGUCAGAUGAGACUCUGAGGUGAUUAAACCAGCAAUGCCCCAAUGCACAAAGUAGACCUAAGUAACCAUUUCAUAAACAGCUCCUGCAAUCUUGUGCCUUUCCCUGAUGGAAACCAAGAAGUCCUUUAAUUUGUAGAAGAUGAUUCACUAAGCUGUCCAUAGUCAUGCCUAAGUGUUUGUCCUGUGUAGUCACCAGUUACUCUACACCACGAACAAAUACGAGUACUGUGAAUUACUAGUCCUCGUGUCCGUUACCAUGCUUUUACCAUUGUCAAUGUAAUCUGCUGUCAUGUUUGCCAGAUUCUCUAGCUUUGUUGUAUCACUUCAUGCUUCUUCAAUGUCCUAAUGAUUUUGGCUGGAAAUAACUUUUCUUCACCAAGAAAGCUAGCAGUUUUUCCUAGUCAAUGCCACAUCCUUUUGACUAACACCGUCUCAGGGUCACUCACUGAUACAGGAAAGCAAGGUAUCUUUGCUUACUUACCAUCUUCCCAGUUUCCUCUUUGGACAGAACUUUGCCUGCCACCACAUGAGUACUUCAUUUCCCCAAUAGCCCCUAGUGAGCCACAUCAUCAAAACUGCAGUAAAGUCCAGGCAUUCUUUUUCAACUAACUUUCAUCUGUCUUAACUUGCUAUACUCACUUUUUUACGCAGGGAUCACAUACACUUUCAAAGUUGUGACCUAACAUUCUUUAAAAGAAUAGUUUGAUUUGAUCUGUGUUAACAAUAGCAGUGAAUCUUGGUGGUCAGUUUAAGUAGUGCCUUUUGAAUGGAACUCAUUGUAUUAAGCCAACUGCUCUAAUUCUUCCCCCAAGUUUCUCAGUGCAUUAAAUUUGUUACUAGUGAACACUUGUAUGGUCAUUAUGGCAAAACACCUGUGCUCAUCCCAAUGUCAAAGUCUUUUGUGCUAGUUGAAGUAUGGGCCCAGAUCUCUGCCUGGAUGGCAGAAAGGUCUUAGUCCUGUGCUGAUUUGCCAGGCAUGUUUAUCCUUUUCCUAGGAGGAUGCUUCAGAGAGCUCAGCAGCAGGUUGCAUCUGCACAUGCGAUGGGGUGCAAAUGAUGGAGAUAUUAGGAGAAGAUGGUCUUGAGUACAGGCUCAUGUCUGGUUUUGGCAAAAGCCAGCUUUCACAGUGAAAAUAAAGCAUGUGUAACAAUAAUAAACCAUAUAGCAAUGUAGCGAUGGCUAAUUCAAAAAAGACAAAUUAUUGCAUCAAAAGUAGAGGCUUCUUUUUGCAUUUGUUUUUAAUGAAACAGCACAUGUAUUUAUUGUUCUUAGUUACUUUGAUGUUGUAUUGAA